rnacentral:rRNA from 1 species
AUACGGAGGAUGCGAGCGUUAUCCGGAUUUAUUGGGUUUAAAGGGUGCGUAGGCGGCCUUGUAAGUCAGCGGUGAAAUUUUGCAGCUUAACUGUAAAAGUGCCGUUGAUACUGUGAGGCUAGGAUUUGGUUGCUGUGGGUGGAAUGUGUGGUGUAGCGGUGAAAUGCUUAGAGAUCACACAGAAUAUCGAUUGCGAAGGCAGCUCACAAAGCCAAGACUGACGCUGAGGCACGAAAGUGUGGGGAUCAAACAGGAUUAGAUACCCUGGUAGUCCACACUGUAAACGAUGAUAACUCGCUGUCGGCGAUAUACAGUCGGUGGCCAAGCGAAAGCGAUAAGUUAUCCACCUGGGGAGUACGACCGCAAGGUUGAAACUCAAAUGAAUUGACGGGG